rnacentral:rRNA from 1 species
CGGACGGGUGAGUAACGCGUAGGUAUCUGUCCAUGGGUGGGGGAUAACGGCGGGAAACUGCUGCUAAUACCGCAUGACACCUGAGGGUCAAAGGCGCAAGUCGCCUGUGGAGGAGCCUGCGUACGAUUAGCUUGUUGGUGGGGUAAUGGCCUACCAAGGCGACGAUCGUUAGCUGGUCUGAGAGGAUGAUCAGCCACAUUGGGACUGAGACACGGCCCAA